rnacentral:rRNA from 1 species
UACGAAGGGGGCUAGCGUUGUUCGGAAUUACUGGGCGUAAAGGGUGCGUAGGUGGUUUGUUAAGUCCGUUGUGAAAUCCCUGGGCUCAACCUGGGAAUGGCAGUGGAUACUGGCAAGCUAGAGUGCGGUAGAGGGUAGUGGAAUUCCCGGUGUAGCAGUGAAAUGCGUAGAGAUCGGGAGGAACACCAGUGGCGAAGGCGGCUACCUGGACCAGCACUGACACUGAGGCACGAAAGCGUGGGGAGCGAACAGG